AACGAACAGCUGGUUCGCCGCUUAAUACAUGCAAGUCAAACGAUGAUAUUCCAACUUGCUGGAGAUGAUUUGCGGAGUACGGUCUGAGAAUCAUUUAGGAAUCUUGCAAUUAGCUGGGGAUCGCUGGUUUGAAAACCCUAUGUAUACCCCAUUAUAACAACUGGGGAACCGGGGUGCAAAGCGCGUAGGAUUACUUGAGCGUAUCCCCCACUUCCUACGGGGUGUGCUCAGGAGCCACCUUAGAGAGCACCUCUAAAUGGUGUGACAGGAUGAUAAGUCUUACCGGCACUGUGGAACUGACCCGACUCCUUCACGAGGCAAGAUGGGAGAAUAUUGGACAAUGGGGGGAUUCCUGAUCCCAACAGGCAGCAUCUGUGAAGAAGGGCUGUCGGAUGAUAAAGCACGAUUGGUAGGGACGAUAGGCUAAUGGUUAAUACACACUAUAUUACACGCUAUUUGCGGAGUACCCACCGGUUAUCUUUGUGUCUAGACCUGCGGUCAUACUCACGGUGCGAAUUUUAUAUAUGCAUUACUGGCCGCACAGAGAGGGUGGGUGGCUCAUUAAGUCUGAUGUGAAAUCCCCCGGCUCAACCCUGGGAACUGCAUUGGAUACUGGCGGACUUGAGUGCUGUGAGAAGGGAGUGGAAUUCCCCGUGGAGCCGUGAAAUGCCUAAAUAUUCGGAAGAACACCCAUGGCGAAAGCCACCCUCUGGGCCUAAACUGACCCUUAAGAUCCAAAGCGUGGGGAGCAAACAGGAUUAGAUACCCUGGUAGUCCACGCCGUAAAAGAUGUAUACUAGCCGUUGGGGUCCUCGAGACUUUAGUGGCGCAGUUAUACGCGAUAAGAUUACCGCCCGGGGAGUGCGGCCGCAAGGCUAAAACUCAAAAGAAAUGACGGGGGGCCGCACAAGCGGUGGGGCACGUGGUUUAAUUUGAUGCGACGCGAAGAACCCUACAUGGUGUCGACAUAGCGAGAAUCCUCCAGAGAUGAGGGAGUCCCCUCGGGAAUUCACAUCCAGGGGUGGCAUGGCGUUCUUCACCUCUUGUCGCGAGAGGUGGGGUUAAGUCCCCCAAAGAGCGCACCCCCUUUCCUUAUUGUCCACAGGUUUAAGCGGGGAAUUUUAAGGAUACUCCCAGUGACAAACUGGAGGAAGGUGGGGUGGACGUCAAGUCAUCAUGCCCCUUACGACCAGGGCUACCCACGUGUUACAAUGGUAGGUACAGAGGGUUGCUACACAGCGAGGUGAUGCUAAUCUCAAAAACCCUAUUUAAGUCCGGAUGGGAGUCUGCAAUUCGCCUCCAGGAAGUCGGAAUCGUUACUAUUGACGGACAAGAAUGAGGCGGUGAACCCGUUCCCGGCCCG
rnacentral:rRNA from 1 species